rnacentral:rRNA from 1 species
AUUGAACGCUGGCGGCAGGCCUAACACAUGCAAGUCGAGCGCGCGUCGGACGGGUGAGUAAUGUAUGGGGACUGCCCGAUAGAGGGGGAUAACUACUGGAAACGGUCGCUAAUACCGCAUACUAUCGGAUAACCCAUAGGGGAUGUGCUAGUAGGUGAGGUAAUGGCUCACCUAGGCGACGAUCCCUAGCUGGUCUGAGAGGAUGAUCAGCCACACUGGGACGAGGACACGGCCAGGACUCCUACGGGGGCAGAAGUGGGGAAUAUUGAACAAGGGGGGCAAGCCGGAUGCAGCCAUGCCGCGGGUAUGAAGAAGGCCCUAGGGUUGAAAAGUACUUUCAGUCGGGAGGCGUUACCGACAGAGGAAGCACCGGCUAACUCCGUGCCAGCAGCCGCGGUAAUUC